UGCGUUCUGUAGCUUGAAAAUUGUGGUGUGUUUUAUUUUCCUAUGGAAAGAGAAAGUUUAAAUAUAAGUGCAAAAGAUAUUUCGCGGCUUACACUUUCGUGUGUCCUUGUACUCGUUCCUUUCAGAAAUGAACGAUUUAACUUUUCUUUAGACACAUUACAAUUGGUAGUGCCACCGGACUUAACUUUUAUGGUAAUUUAAAGCGCCACGCAGGGUCGCAUUCUAAAAUUCUAAAACAUGUAAAUUUGGUAUGCAGUAUUCCUUCUCAACACCGCCUGUUUUAUAAAUAUAUCUGCAAGAAAAUCCAUUAUAUAUUUAGAUAUUUUUACAAAACAAAAUUUUAAAAAUUAAUAUUCACAGAACAAAAUAUCAUUAUUCUGAAUCUGAGCUAUCAGAGUCGGACAAAUCUGUUUCAGGAUUCUCUAUUAAUAGCAAGUUCAUAACAUCCUCGUCCAACAUACUAUUUCAAAAGUUCGUCUACUCCUGUUGUACGAGCAGCCAAAUGUGGUUGUUGGAAAAAUCUUCUUGCGUUGUUUCCGUUGUUGGUAUUACCAGAACUAGGCAAUGGUAUGUCCACCAAUAGGUCCAUUUCUUUUCGUAUGUUUUCCUGUAUGCGUUUUUUUAUUUUCUUCAACAACAUUUUUGUCAGUACCGCGAACUUGCCACUUUUUUAUUGGAAGCCUAUAAGAAAUGUGCAAGACACACUCGAAAAACCUAAUCCAGGCAUGAAGACUUGAUAAUCCAUAUUCAAGGAGACUAUACAAUCAAUUGGAAAACUUUGAACCAAAUUCAAGUCAUUCAUAUUUUUUGGUGUGGCUCUGCAUAUUACGCAUGUUUGGGAAGAAGACUCCGAGAUAACGCUAAAAGUUUUUCCAUCCAGCAUAGUCAUGUGAAACUGGUGAUGAAUACUUAAAGAGUUUAUUUGUGUUGGUACAAUAUUUAAAAUGUGGCUUUUAAUAUUUUCAAUUUCUCUACGAGUCAAGUCAGCCGUUUCUUUUUCGCAGAGAAUUUUUAUUGGUCUACAAUAUCUAGUUGAGGAAGGUCGGUUGUUUAUCCAUAGAAUUUUCAAUCCCUGCUUUAUUUGCAAUGGUACAAUACAAACUGAAAAUAAAUACUGAUCGAUCAUAUUUCCUUCACAAUCGCUGAAUUUUUGCCUAUACGUUGAGUGUCCGCUGCUGCCAUCACAGCCCCAUUUGUAAACGGCAGUUAUAUUAGUAUUGUUAUUUCCAGUCUGCUUUUCAAAAAUUUGUGGGUACGCUUGAAUGAUCCUACCAACAGUAUGGUCCACUAAACUUUGCGGAAUAAUCAGUGACUGUUAUUUCACUCGGAUAUCAAUCUUUUUUCGCAGAGCGUAGUUUAUCGUAGCCUGGGUAUAUAUCGGCGUUUUGACUUUUCGCAGAUUUAAUAUUUUAUUGGAAGGAGCGGGGGGGUUUUUUAUCGAUUUCAUAACUUUUCCGCAAAAUUUACUUUCAGAAUUAAGCAUGGAUACAACCUUCGAAGCACUGCGUUGUCUAGCUUUGUACAAACUAGAGCUUGCAGCUACCAGCAACGCUUCGGAUGAUACUUCCUGUACAAGGUCAGACACUUUGUCAACUUGUGUCUUACUAGAAAGUUCUGCAAAAUCUUUUUUUGGACGAUCAACAUCUACUUUAAUUAACGAUAGUGGCGUAUCUAACCAUUCCUGGUGUCGUUUCUCAAAAUACAUUUUAUUUUUAGCACAACUCUUCCACCUUUCAACAAGCCUGCUAUUAAAUUUUCGUAGUUUCCUACCAACUUCGCAACGCUGCUGAAUACUUAGGUUAUUAUUUUUAUUUAAGAACUGUGCCGAAAGCGUAGUUUUCGAUAGCAAGAAACUUCUUCCUGGGUAUUUUUUCGUCCAGCCAUACUAAGUAAAAAUUGCGUUUUGGUACUGAGACCAUUGUGUCUAAAAAAUGAUAAAUUGAUGGGUAGUGGGUAGUAGCGGCUCAACUAAGACAUUUUGAACACACAAUAAAACACGCUCUCACAAAAUUUUAAACUUAACUUGAAUACGCUUGAAUUUUAUUAAUUUCUAAUCCACGAAAUACAGGUGUAGGCUACCAAUAUCAUGUUGUUAAUACAAUUAAAUUCAACUGAGUUUUAUAAGUAACACAUACAUAAAUAGAUCAACCAAACAUAUUCUACAUAUAGUACUUACCUUGAUGUAAGCUAUAAAGUAAAGUAAACUUUUAAGUUAAUAGGAAAAAAUUUUAUUAUUUACAGCGAAAUGAAAAGAACAUUCUAUAAGGCAAAAAAAAAUCGUAAAGCACUUGCUAAAAAAUAUGUUGCUUGGAAGUGGUAAUUAACUAUCGAUUGUUAACUAAUUGAAGUAUGCGUUAUCGAUAGGAAAUGCAAAAUUUCUGCAUUAUUAAACUUGAAAAUUGAAUAAAACGCCGCUAGCGCAUCCAAAUCGCCCACUGUGCUAUCUGGCAUCUCUUAUGUACUUGUUUAUUACAAACUACUGGCAACUCUGGCUUACUUGUCCUUUUUUCCUCUCUCUAAUAAAUGGAUUUGACAUAAUCGAACGUGUUUGGUUUUUUAUUAUCGAAAGGAAUCCGCUUUACGUUUAUUAAAACCCGCGAACGCUAUUAUGCGUUAACAAAUACAUAUAUGUAUGUAAUUCGAUCUUAAGGUCGAAGUCGAAAAUCACUUUGUGUGAUUUAUAGCGCUGGUUGAUAAUUUGAAUUGUUGAUUAUGUCAGUUAAUGUUUCAAUUUUUUUUUUUUAACACCUUGUGCAUGGCUGGCUUCUGCAUUCGACAACAAUGUUUACGAGUAUCCUUCAUCGAUGCAGAUAAAUAAAGGAUUUUUAAUGUUUAAAUAACUUUCAUACGAUUUAACCCAUUAUCCCACUUCUGAUUUUUGCGAAAACGCAUCUGUAUACUAUUAAACUUUAAAAUAAACGUACAACCGGAGAGAAUUCCGCACUAGACUUAUAUUACAUUUACAUUGGACCGAAAUGCGUGAUUUGAAAUCAGUCAUCUGAAGGUGUUUACUACACUACUUAGUUCGCAUUUCCUUUGUGUCAAAGACAAACAAACGCUUUUGUGGAACUUGUGGAACUUUUGUUUCUGAGUGAGUUCAAUAAAAUAGUACGGCAAUUGGAACGCAUUUUCUUCGUGAUUUUGUUUAAAUGCGUUCAAAUGCGUGAUUUUAGAAAUGCGAAUUUGUAUGGGGAAAUGCGUAAUUUGGUAUUUGUUUUCUCCCCCAAAUGACGCAUUUGGGUUCAAUGUAAAUGUAAUAUAAACUUCUGGUUUCCCAGAACCUUUAUUUAUAUAUAUUACAUAAAUUCUUACUCUAAAUACAUAAAUUAUCACUUAUCCUACAUACUUAUUAUCGGCAACUACUUGUGGCAGCAAAGUUUGUUGUUGGUUUAAGUUUCCGAUAAGAAACUAAACAGCAUCUGACAACACAACAUAAAUUACAACGGACGCUAAUGCUCUGGUUACCCAGAGCCUUUAUUUAUAGUAAACAUUACCAAACAAACGUACACUAUUUUGGUAACACGCUAAACUUGGUGUUUUUUGAUCCAGACCAUGCUAGAUUCUCUACAAAUUUAUUCACAAUUAAUUUUCGAUCAGCCAACUUCAUCGCAAAAAAAAAAAAACAUAAACAAAGAAAUAAAUUUAGGUUUUGUAUCGUCGUAAAACCUUCAUUGUGAACAACCAUUGGUUUUGAUUAUUAUAAAGCAAUUUCCAAAUUGCCACGAAUGUUCUUGAUUGUUUAAGAUACGAUGCCUCAAUCGACUUUGGUUCCUCUUCUUCUUCUUCUUAAUUGGCGCUAUAACUACCUAAGCAAUUUUGGCCGAGUUCAAAAGAACAAUUAGUUUUUUUUUUUUAUUUAUUUUUGUUUUUCAAUCAUUGUAAAAGGAUAGUUCUUCUCUUAUGCUUUAGAAUCUUCAACUAAAAGUUGCAGGGUAUUCGCGUUUCCGUGACUACUGAGAUGGAUUAAUUGAAAGAGGUGAAUUUUCGGUUUAAAAUUGUCAAAAAAUGGGUAUUCAAUUCAAAGUACGUAAUUCGCCACUACAAAGUUUGGCAGAAAUUGAGGAAAUUGAUAAAUUCAAAUUAGAAGGUUAAGCUAGGCGCCAAUCUGUAUGAUGGAAGUCAAAUCUUGAAAGUCAGCAGGUUAGAUCUUAAUAAAAAAAGUUCGUCUUUAACUCUAUCAUAAAAUACUAACAGUAAUUUAACAAACACAAUUUACAAAAGACACUGAUGAUCCGCGGUUGCUUAAAAUCUCGUAUCUAUCAUAGAUUCGUUGAUAUCAUCGAAAAGUACAUAUACUACAGUUAAGUGCAAUUAAAUAAUUAACAACGAUACCAGACCAAGCAAUAGUAGGCUGAGUUGUAAAAUAGCAAUUUACUUAAAAAAAAAAACAAAUAAAAUAUUUUGUAGCAAAACUAUUGUUGUCGAUUACCGCUUGACACCUGCGUGGCAUUGACUCCACUGUAAGAAGCCCAGUCAAAAACAGUCAUCAAAUUGUCUUGAAAGCACUGCUUUGUACGUCGAGCUGUGUUUCGGAUCGUUAUCAUGCUGAAACAUCCAUAUUACGGGCAUGUUAGCUUCGGCAAAUGGUAAGAUGAUUAGGUCGUUCAUAAUUGCUACGUACAGGAACCAAUCCAUACGUCGCAUCAAUUUUGUGUAUAGGCCCAACGCCUCGCCAUGACUUGCCUGCCCCCACAUACUUCAGUGUUGGUGUUGUGUACUUACCUAUCCAACUCUUUGCGUUUUGUGAGCCUAACAUUAGUUUUUGCAUCCGACAAAACUCUGCUAAUCUUUGUUUGGUCAAAAAAAAAAAAAUACAUUUUUCCACUCGCUUGGUGUCUAGUGGCGAUAUUUCAAGUCGAACUCCAAACAAUUUCAAUUGCGAUCAAAGAGCAGUUAAAUGCUUCCAUAGAGUCCUGCUUCUCGCAAUCGCCUCUUAAUUCUAACUACAGCAGAUGCGUUCUCGUUUUCCCAAAAAACCGAAGCUCUAAUUUCCUCGGCAAUCGUAUGCGGGUCCUUUCGUGAUCUAUCAGUUCGUAUUCUCUUCGACGUUGUUUCACGCGGCCUCUUUUUUGCGUGGAACUUGUUUUGUUGUCUUAUUUUAAUUGUAAAAAUUGAAUUGCAUUAAACGCCAUACUUUUCGAAAGGUUGAGCGACUUCGCGAUUUCACCGUUUGACUUCCAUCCUUCCGCAAGUUAACGAUAACGCCCGGAGUUUCCUCACUAAAAGAUUUCUGUUCACCCAAACUUUUCUUAUACCAAAAAAAACUUACCUGAAAUGUAUUAAUUUCCACAAAAAAAACUUGAAAAAAAUAUAUGCGCGUUGUUAAUUAUAUGCUCGACCGUUUUAAUUAAAUUCACCAUGAAAUUUCGAUUUCUUAGUUACAGCAAAUUUGUAAUAUGAAGUUUUGACCACUUUCGCGAAGCAUACUUUUUUAUGAAAGCAACUAAUAAAAAUGUAACUAUUCAUACCAAGAUUUUAGGUACAGGUUCAAAAUAUUAACAUGGCCAUGUCGUUGUUAAUUAGUUGCACGCAACCGUACAUAUUUGAAAAUGGAAUUUAGUGAGUCGAAUUUAGUCUGUUAUCCCACUUCUGAAUAAUGCGAAAACGCAUUAAUAAUUAAUUUACUUGUUCAGGUCAUUGUUGAAUACAGAUAAAAUAAUCGAGCCUUUAUUUAUAGAAAACUUAAAACUAUUCUUAUCUCUAACUAGACAAACGCAUGUAUGUAGUAAUAUUUUAAAUUUAAAUAGUUUCCUAAUUGUAAGAAGACUGUACCAAGGGAUAAUCACUUGCACAGAAAUUAUCGCUAUGUAUGUUAAACCGGCACAACGCUUGGACAAAGUUGUGGCCGAUUUAAUUUAUUGGAAUGAAAAACAAAGCAAAACGUUACCUUUUAUUGAUACGGGAACACGGUGGCUGGAACACGUCCUCUUGACUUCACUCUCUAUUAUUUGCUUUUAAACAUAAAUAAUAAGCAGUGGAAGAUUCCACUGUUACCUUAUCGGAUCUCCUUGAUUAUUAAAAAAAAAAAAGAACUAUUUCGUGUAUGUAUAUCUUUAUGUCAAUGAUAUAA